UACGGAGGGUGCAAGCGUUGUUCGGAAUUAUUGGGCGUAAAGCGCGUGUAGGCGGCCUUGCAAGUCGGGUGUGAAAGCCCUCAGCUCAACUGAGGAAGCGCGCCCGAAACUGCAGAGCUUGAGUACCGGAGAGGAUGGCGGAAUUCCCCAAGUAGAGGUGAAAUUCGUAGAUAUGGGGAGGAACACCGGUGGCGAAGGCGGCCAUCUGGACGGAUACUGACGCUGAGACGCGAAAGCGUGGGGAGCAAACAGG
rnacentral:rRNA from 1 species